rnacentral:sRNA from 1 species
ACCCCUACACACCGAAAUCGUGGCCAGCCUACUCAUUUUGAGAGCCAGCGCCUAUUUGAUGUCGUUCCAGGAUUGGAUCUAUACGAAACUAUUCGUUUCUGAACGCCUAAACUCCACUUUUCGAGCGCCGGCGUUAGGAUUCAAACAACGUUUUUGGUGUGGCGGCUUCAGGAAUGGUGCGACUUAGGAUCUAUCUUGCUCUGCAUUUAAGCGCCCACGACUGCUUGCAAUAUUGUCAAGAAGGCUUUUCUUAGCUAAGGCAGAGAAGGUUACUUUUACUGAAGAGGAAUCUUGAGUGGUUUUGAAUGCAUUCUGGGAGCAAGGAAUGAUGUAUACAAUUCAAUUAGAGGAGCACCUAGCACUAAUUUUAUAACAAUUUUUUUUUCCAGGAUCAGCAGCACAAAACCUAUUGGUGAAUGCCAACGCGGUUGAAUUAACGCACGCCCGGUAAAACCAGAUAAAAACUGGGUAUAUGGCUAUUCCAAUGGGAAACGGGUAGAAUAACACGGCUAUCUAUUUUUUAUCUCAUCACAGGAGGUCUGCUUUCCUUGUUCCAUUUCACCCUGCUGCGAACCCAUUCCACUGCUUCCCUCACCCCGCUCCCCAUCAGCGCACUGAUGGGCAACACUCGACUAUCUCGCACACCACCCCCUUCCUCGCCCUCAAACACCUUUCUCACAAACCCUUCCUUGAUCCUCACUACCUCCACGCAAUCUUCUCUAUCUUGCUUAUUCGCGAGCACAAGGAUGGGCACCCCGAUCGUCUCCGCAUGCUGCAAUACGGAUUCAAGAACCUGGCGACACUCAUCCAAUCUCCCAAAUUCACCCUGGGGAUCUAUGGCGUUCAUGGGUUCGGUAAUAGCACCUGAAAGUCCCUUGGCGUUCGAUGGCGCAUUUGGCCCUCCUUUAUGUCCACUCUGAGCAAGGCGCGAAACGUCUGCGUCUUCGCCUACAUCUGCACUAUCGACCACAAAAAUAAUGGCAUGACAGCUCGAAUAGUAGCUUUGCCAGAGGCCACGCAUUGAUAUCUGUCCUCCUAUAUCCCAUAUUUUUAAGUACAUGUCUGGAAGCGGAAUAGUUGCGACAUUUUGGCCGACGGUUGGGACGGUUUUGCCAGGGAGGGGCUGCGUCGCGGUGUUGUUUGGGUCGGUGGGGAGGAAGAGAGCUUUUAUCUGAUUUAGCAAAGUGGUUUUGCCUGCAUUAUCCAGGCCAAGGAGCAGGACGGAGUAUUCUAUAUUGUUGCUAAGUCAAUAGUGAUUUUGGGUAUCGGCGAUGGCAAAGUGGUUACAUGGGGGGUCUAAGGGGUGGAGGUAGUUGAAGUAUGAUAUUGUGGGCAAGACAUACCCUCUUUACUCGUAGCAUAGAAAUAAAUCGAUUUGGCAAGAUGGUACAUGGUCUUCAGAUUAGGAUGCCAACACCCGAUGGGCACAGGCUUAUUGCCGUCAUCAACUCGAUGCGACAACGUCAAAUCCCCACCCACGUCUAACCGCGUUACAGAGUUGCGACAGUAACUAAAUCAUGACGUAAG